GGACCCGCACAAGCGGUGGAUGAUGUGGUUUAAUUCGAUGCAACGCGAAAAACCUUACCUACCCUUGACAUGCCUGGAACCCUGCAGAGAUGUAGGGGUGCUCGAAAGAGAGCCAGGACACAGGUGCUGCAUGGCCGUCGUCAGCUCGUGUCGUGAGAUGUUGGGUUAAGUCCCGCAACGAGCGCAACCCUUAUCAUUAGUUGCUACGCAAGGGCACUCUAAUGAGACUGCCGGUGACAAACCGGAGGAAGGUGGGGAUGACGUCAGGUCAUCAUGGCCCUUAUGGGUAGGGCUACACACGUCAUACAAUGGCCGGUACAGAGGGCUGCCAACCCGCGAGGGGGAGCUAAUCUCAGAAAACCGGUCGUAGUCCGGAUCGCAGUCUGCAACUCGACUGCGUGAAGUCGGAAUCGCUAGUAAUCGCGGAUCAGCUUGCCGCGGUGAAUACGUUCCCGGGUCUU
rnacentral:rRNA from 1 species